AUGGAACUUGGGCGGACUUCAUCCAGGGUUUGUCAUAUUGGGCAUAAUAUCUUGAUGCCGCUUGUCAUAGCAUGCUCAGUUGAUUGUAUUACAUGUGCAUCUAAAUUAUGUGCCCUCCAUUCUUUUUGUAUAAUUUACCACUGUGCUCAAACCUGCAAAAUCCAAAUAGUAACACUCAGUGAGCCUUUUGCGGUGUCUCUACUUCUUAGUGUCUGGACUUCUGCAGUAUCUCUGAGUCCCCAUUGGUUAGCUUGGGGUUUCUCUUCAUUUAUUGUAUGUUUCCAUAUGUGUGUUGCUAAAUAUUCUCUAGUCGGAAAUGAACUUUCAGAAAAUUAUACAUUUUACUGUCAAAAGUUAGAACAGAGGUCACCAUGGCCAUCAGAUUACCAUGUAUGCCGUGUUUGUUGUCAUAAGUAA
rnacentral:rRNA from 1 species